CCUCCCACCCGUGUUUAUUUUACCUUGUUGCUUCGGCGGGCCCGCCUUAACUGGCCGCCGGGGGGCUUACGCCCCCGGGCCCGCGCCCGCCGAAGACACCCUCGAACUCUGUCUGAAGAUUGUAGUCUGAGUGAAAAUAUAAAUUAUUUAAAACUUUCAACAACGGAUCUCUUGGUUCCGGCAUCGAUGAAGAACGCAGCGAAAUGCGAUACGUAAUGUGAAUUGCAAAUUCAGUGAAUCAUCGAGUCUUUGAACGCACAUUGCGCCCCCUGGUAUUCCGGGGGGCAUGCCUGUCCGAGCGUCAUUUCUGCCCUCAAGCACGGCUUGUGUGUUGGGCCCCGUCCUCCGAUCCCGGGGGACGGGCCCGAAAGGCAGCGGCGGCACCGCGUCCGGUCCUCGAGCGUAUGGGGCUUUGUCACCCGCUCUGUAGGCCCGGCCGGCGCUUGCCGAUCAACCCAAAUUUUUAUCCAGGUUGACCUCGGAUCAGGUAGGGAUACCCGCUGAACUUAAGCAUAUCAAUAAGCGGAGGAAAUGAUCCUUAUGAUCCUU
rnacentral:rRNA from 1 species